GUGUCGCGCUCCCUCCCAUUCAUUCCCCCUCUCUCUUUCUCUCUCUCUUCACAGAAAGGUGUUAUCCUUGUCUGACAACUCCCCUAUGAGUGAGAGAGAGAGAGAGAGAGGGAGGGAGAGUUGGGGAGCAAAGAGUUGG